rnacentral:tRNA from 1 species
GGCAGAGUAGUAUAGAGGUUUGAGUGUUGGACUAUGAUUCUGAAGACCAGGGUUCGAAUCCCUGCUCAGCUG